rnacentral:tRNA from 10 species
ACUUUAAGGGUGAGCUGUGCCUCCUGUUAGGAUUUCUACUAGGGAGGAAGUUCAGGUGUUAGUUGGCCAAAAGAAUGGCAAAUAUCCAUGACUAACAGGAAGAAGAAAGACUGACCAUUGUCACCCACUACUUCUCCUCUACAAUUACCAGAUGGACACAGUGAGAUCAGGAAAAGAAAUAAGAACUCAAUGAAUUGGAAAGAAGAAAGAAAACCCUCCUUUUUUCACAGAUGGUAUGACUAACCACAUAGAAAAUCUAAACAAAUCUAUAGAUAGCCUUAUGAAUUAAUAAAGUUUGAAGCUUUGCUGCAAACAAAUCAGCAUAUGAAAAUCAAUGUUUUGUCUACAUCCAGCAAUAGCACAUUGUAAAAUUUCAAUAUAUGUGCAUUUUAUAAUAGCAACAAAAACAAUUAAGUACUCAAGAAAAUAUUCCAUAAAUGUUGUUUAAAAACUUUGAAAUGUAACAUUACUUCAGGGCCCAACAGAUCUAUAAAAUGAGGAGAUAUUUAUUGAUCUUAUUUAAGCAGAAUAAAUACUGUAAAGAUAACAAUUCUCAAAUAAAUCAAUAAUUCAGUGUAAUUCCACUUAGAAUGCUUAAUACAAUUUUUAAACAAUGCAAACUCAUCAAACUGAGAUAAAACUCAAAAGAGAGUAAAGAACCAAAAGAUGAUAGAAAAACAAAAUUAAAUUGUUUGGUGAUUUCAUCUGAAGAGUUGUGUUUCUGCUCAUGCUUGUUAAGCAUGUAAUGAUAUGCCAUUAAGAAUAAAAGUUGCUAUAGGCUUUUGAUUAGCUAUUUCAGAUUAAGGAAAUUCCAUUCUAUUUCUAGUUUGCUGUUUUUUAAAUCAUAAAAGGGUGUUAAAUUUUAUCAAAAUGUUGGGCAUUUAUUGAGAUGAAUAUAAGCUUUUAAUUUUUCUCCUUUAAUAACAUGGUGAAUAAAUUACAUGUUAACCUUUCUUCCAUUCUUUUAACAAACUCAGUCUUAUUGUGAUUUCAAAAAUAAUUGAUCGAUCCAGCUUACUAAUUUUAUUAUAGGAUUGUUGCAUCUAGUUUGGGAUGUGAGAUUUGCCAACUUUUUUUUUCUUGUAUGUUAUUUACCUAUUUUGGGGGAACUUUCCUCCUUUUUGGUUCUUUGGAAUGGAGUUUAUCAAGUAGGAAUAAUUUGGUGGUUGAAAGAUUGGUAUCUUUUAAAUGUUCUGGACCGUAUUUAUUGAUGUUGUUUUGUGGGUAGAGUUUUAAGUGCUUCUUCAGACUCUAAUUCCUGGGCCCUGGAGAUACUGCCUCCUGUGCAGCCCUCUGAUGCCAUUCUAGGACCACCUCCACACUUUCAAACCUAAAAUAACCCCACUGUGCUGCCUGGAAAGCAGUCAGUAAUUAGGCAGUACUUCAACUCUCAUUCCUGAUUUUAAACAAUAUCUCAACCCUUGGGUAUGUAAUUGCACACUAUCCUUUCUAGUUGUACCAACUUUUAGAUCAUUUCUUCAUUUCAUUUGCGGAUUUAACUCCUGGCUCACUAUCAGUAUCUCCAACAUGACCCUCAUGUUAUUUUGGGGAGAUUUCAUUAUUUAAGUAGAUAAUCUUUCAAUACAAUGGCUGUUCGAUUCAACCGCUGCUUUCCAAUGAUCACGUCCCCCACCCUACUUAAGCCAUCCAUUUCCAUUGUCCUACACCAGUCCCUUUCACGACUAGUAACGGCAACAUGUACAUAAUCUUAUUUCAAGUCUCCCACUCUCCCAUAACUGUGUCCUGUGUUUUCAAUUUUUUAUAACAAUUCUAUCCAACUCUAAUACUUUUUAACUGUUCUUUAGAUCUCCUCCUUCAUUCUUUCUUUAAUCUAAAUUUCAGCCAAUCUUUAUAACUACAUUCUCAAUAUGGGGUUUGCAGAGGGGUUAAUUCUCAGACCGGCAACCCUCAACCAUCAGGGAAUGGGAUACCCUAGCUUGGGAUAAUUCUGAUGUCUGCUCUCCCUGGAUCUUCAGAGUCCCCAGAGGAUGUGAGAUAGCAUUAACACUUUUUUAAAAAAUUUAAAAAUUUUUAAAUAUUAAAUUAAAAAAAUUAGGCACCAAACAUGAAGUCAGCUUUAAAUACAUGACAUAUCUGGGGAGUACAAAGUCAAUUUAAUGAAUGCCCAUAAGGAAAGAACUUUUCUGCCUUUACCUUUCUUCCUUCCCUAUUUGUGCCUGAUGGAAUGUGAUUAAAUACCAUGUGCAUUUGAUAGAUGCAGCUUACUAAUAUUAUUAUAGGAUUGUUGCAGCUAGUUUGGGAUGUGAGAUUUGGCAACUUUUUUUUUCUUGUAUGUUAUUUACCUAUUUUGGGAGAACUUUCCUCCUUUUUGGUUCUUUGGAAUGGAGUUUAUCAAGUAAGAGUCAUUUGGUUGUUGCCAAAUACGAUGUGAUUGGGAAGAUAGGAGAGGGAUAUAAGCACAAGGCAGGGGAGGAGAGAAGGACCACAAUCCUUGUCCCUGGCCUACUGCUUGAUACAGGUCCAGUAACAUAGAAAAAGAUUUAACAUCACAAUGAGUUUGGAAUUUUUAUUUAUUUUAGGACUAGAUAUUUUAAAUAACUGAAUUGAGAUUUAAUUGUGAUUAAACCAUAGGAUUUCUUGUUGCCUAAGACUGAUCAAACAAGUUAUGGGAUUAUGGGAAUUUUUAUCAGGGAUCAAGGAAGAAACUUCCCCCACUAAACACAUUUUAAAGAGCUGUUUAGAGAAAAGAAGCAUUAUUUUACUCUAUACCCAGGAGUCUUGCUUGUUUAAUAUAUCUGUAACACAUAUAUUGUGCAUGUUUGCAAGAAUGUGGUUCAGGUUUCUUCCCCUGUGGAUUGAUACAAACUCUUCAACAAGAGUGACUAAAGGGAAAAAUACUCUUUCUCUGUUCUGGAUAAUAUUUUUAUCUAUUUUCUUUUGGUCUUCAUUGGCUGAUCCUCUGCCCUAAAUGGUAGAGCAUUAUUAAGGUCAAAGAAAUGGAAUAAUAUAGAGUUUGCUUUGUAGUUCUUUCCAUGUGGUCCAAUUGCCUAAUCAACUUUUCUGUCCUGCAUUUACUUUAGUUACUCCUACUAGGACCUGAGCACGGAGUUUUCAGAAGGGCCCUAGGCCCUGUCAGAGGGUUAAGAGGGACGUGCUCUCAAACUCCUUAUUUCUUCCUAGGAGUGUAUGUUUUUGGUGAGCAAAGCAACUGCUGAGCAGGAGAAUAGGAUGAUAAUGGUCCCCAGUAUAAUAAAGCGGAAGGGAUGUUGAAAAGAGGAAUAUGAUAGUGUGGUAUCACAUUGCAUCCUAACUGCUGAAUUGUUCAAUGGGCUUUUGCAAAGUUAAGUACCAUUCUGAAAGAUAGGAUCUGUACAGUUUUCUUAAACUGCCAUGAGUGAGCUAUGAGCCUAAGGUAUAGUCCUCAUCCCAUGGAAGAGGUGAACAAGGGCCUCAUUUUUAGUAGCAUAAAUUCCAAGAAUCUGCCAAGGCCGUAGGAAACAGUUAAAAGAGAAAGACAGGAAGUGGCAAGGAAAUUGAUACUAAUCAGAAAUUUCCGAGGCCUCUCAUAUGGAAUACGCUGACCCUCAAAGUUUCUUUUUGGCAAGAAGAGACCAUAGAGUUUCUAUACCUGAAUACUUAACCUAAGUAUGGGUGGGUUGAAGUAGAGUUGAAGAGAUGUGGACUCUUUGUGAGACCUGUAGCCAAAUACAGUUUUCAAACUUGAUUUGUCAGUGGCAGGUGUGGCCACACAAAUAAAAUCUGCUUUUAAGUUUAAUUAUAUCAGUACAAUCUCAAGUACCAUGUUUACAUAUUCAAGACUGAUAGUUGAUGGAUUUUUCCUAUAUUAACCAUUUAAGUAAGAUAAUUAUUUGCCAUUCUGUGACAUUUAAUUACAAUGCUAUGACUAAUUUAUAUAGUUGGAAGAAAAAAUUGCUUUAUAUGUCAUUUAAGAUUUGUAUGAACACAUUUAAACUGCAGAAAAGAUUGCUUAGAAAAAUGCAGAGCUGGCUCCCAAGAGCUCUUGAUUACCUUCUGUAUCAAGACCAUUUUUUUAAAAUUGGCUGUACUAUCACAGCAUAAUUUCAAGGUGACCACCUGUCAAAGAGCUUCUGCGGGAAAAAGGCAAAAUGUCUCCCUGUCUUAUUUGUACAUUUAUUUUUAUAAACAUUUCUAAUUUUCCAGAGGGUAUUAUAGGCUAAAAUUUAAUGGGAUGGUAAUAGUUAGCAAUGAGUAAAUAACAUGAAUUCUCAGUUGAUGUAAAUUUCAUGCCAGGUUUGAAUGAUGAAGGUAAAAGCUAGCAUGGAGACUAGAAACACAUUUAAUAGCAGAUGUUCAGUUGUGCAGGAGAGAUCUACAUAAAUAACAAAGUUUGCCCUACUUGUGUUGAGAGCAUUCAAUUUCUUUUUUUUCCCAGGAAGUGAAUUGUACUUUGGACUGAGCCGAGUCAUAAUUAAGCUGUACUAAGAAAACAUUCAAGUAACAAUGAUUUGCAAAUGAUCAAAUUAUUGUCAGCUUAGCAUGGGGCUUCACCAGCUGGAGUGAUUUCUCUAUUAUAACCAUAUGUCUGUUAAUAAAUUUGAUUCAAAUGUAUAACAAUUACAAAUAUUUUAGAGACUGGGCAGAGCAAUUAAAAUCAGGUAAGGUUGUUCUUGUGACUUGGUCUUAAAAUAAAUGAAGAGACUACAAUGAUGAAGCUAAAUGCUACUUGGUUAGAGACUGCAAGAUGCGAUAAAGCAGUUAGCAUGUCUAAAAUCGAAUUGUUUCAGAUGUAGUAUGUUGACCCAUCACACAGGAUGGCUUAAUAGAGUGUCACUUAAAACACUGAAAGCACCGUGCAGGCUUCAGAGGAAUUCCCCUGUUAUCUUCCUGAGUUUACCUCAUGAAUGUUUCAAUAAAAGUGGAGAAGAAUGAUCAUUAGCAAAGUGGAAUUACAGAGUAGGUCAUUUGGGGGCACAAUACUGUACCUGACUUUUAAAAAAGUAAUGAUCUUGGUAAAGGUACAAGUGAAAAAGAGACUUUUUGGGGAGUAUUUUUUCUUACGUCUUUGAAGGAGUAGAAGCUUCAUCUUCCAGGAAUUUUUAAUCUUCCUUUCUCCCUAAAUCUGCUCUUUGAGCUCCUUAAGAUACAUUAAUCUGCAAUGUCCCACUGUCUCCUAUCGCAUUUCCCAGUUUAAAUUAUCUGGAAAAGGCAACUGUACUUCUGUACCAUCUUUACAAAUUCAUGAUCUUACUAAAAAGUGUGUUACUGAAACUGCUGACCUCUCUCAUCCUCACAUCUUACAAAAACACAGUCCUGACAGCUGUAUUAGCAAAAUUGUAAAUCCAGUAAAGAAGUUAUUAAUAUGGAAAGGUCAGUACAUGUCAGAAAUGGUAAAGUGUGGAUAACUGAUAGAAAAUUACAAAUUGGGAACUGCUUUGAAGAAGGCAAAAGAGCCUUUAACUGGUUCAAAAUAUUUGAAAUUUUGAUAAUUUGUUUAAUGACUUGAAUCAUCAUAAUCUUUUGGAAAUUGAUUGGAUCAUGUAUAUUUUUCUUUGAGGGCAAAUUUCUUCUACAUCUUUAUUUCUUUUUUCUCACACACUGAAUUGUUCCUUUUUUAGCUAUAUAUUUUAUGGUAUAACUUUUAAUUCUUCCUUGUAGAAAAACAACAUGGUUUCUGGAAGACUCAGUUAUUCUUCCCAGAAAUUUUAGAUUUUUUGAGACACAAACAAACAUAUGAAGAAACAGUUUCUGAAUCUUAAAAACCACAUUGAGUUCCAGUUCUAAAAUCAGCGGUAAAUAUAGGCAUAUAAAACAAUGUAAACUCUACUUGUCAUCAGAACAGUAGCCUAUGGACAUAGUAAGUGUUUAAUAUUAUUUUUGAAUCAAUUAUUUUUAUUUUUAGAAACAAAAAGGCAAAGAUGAGACUGUAUUUCCUGAGUGAUAUAAACUAACAAUUGUCUAUUCAAAGAAUAUAGCUGUUUGUCUGCUCUUAUGUAAUAUUCUUAAUUAUCUGAAAGAGGAAUGGCCUAGUGAGAACUCCACCUUUUAGAUGUCCAUGACCUCUUCCAAGUAGUCAGUAACUUGCUAUGGGAGAUGAGCCUGGGAAUUCUGUAAGGUAAUUAGAAUGUUACUUUUAAAUCUGGAUCAUUGCAUUUUAUGUUAAUUUUCUCACUUGUUCUUUACAAUAACUUUUUGAAAUUUGAUUAUGUAGGCAGGACAGUUACGGUUGCUUUUUACAGAUAAACAAACUGAGGCUGUGAGAAGUAAAAGGAUUUCCCCAAGUUCAUUCAACCAGCAGUGAAACAGUUUGUAUUGAAACAAAGGAUGUUUGACUCCUACUCCUAGGCUGCCUGAUGCAGUAAAGGCAUCAGAAGCCAAAUGAAUGUAUAAGUUCACAAAGGAUUAGAUACAUUUUGAUGUCAGAUUCAUAACAGAUUGUUAAAGGUCAUCAGGUGUUCUUAAUAUACACUUCCUGCUUCUUCAGGGUAAUGUCAUGGUGGGUAACCAUGCAAUCCCCUAAAAAACCCUUUGCUGUCACUGUCAGAGACAGAUUUCUGGACUCUAGGCCCAUUGGCCUGUCCCAGUGAGUCAUUUCUCAAGUUCUUAUCUUUUGGAUACAGAAGCAUAUUACUUGAGAGUGUGAAGGGGAAGUUGGCUUUAAUCUUAAUUGCCUGCAUAACAGUAUUUUUAAAAUGAUCUCACUCUGUAAAAUAUAAAACGCUACCACUACCAUAGAAGUCAGGAAUGUUAGAGCAGAGCAAAGAUUAUUAGAAAAGUCAAGCUUGCAAUAUACAUUCCAUCCCUCUGAAUUUGCCAUUAAAACACGGUUGCAGUUCCAAGCAGACCAUAGCCAGACUGCAGAAUGCACAGUCUGUGUAACUACUCUAUCCCUACUCAAUUUGCAUGCCAGGACAGAACAGCCUUUGGCCUGAAGGUCAACAGCUACAGCCCUGCUUUAGGACACUGCUCAACUUAUGUCCAUGCUGAAGUUGGCUCAGUAUGCUCCAUGUACUUUUUUAUUCUUCAUGGACCAGCAGCUACCUGAGACUUGUUCUCAACACAGUGAAUCACUGGAGUGAAUAAAGAUAAGUAGAAAUAUUUGAUAUCUUCUGUGGCUUUUGCCUGGAACUAGCACCUUCUCACUUCUCCCACAUUCCAUUGACCAAGUAUGUCACAAUCCCAACAUUAGUGAAACAGAGAAAUAUACCAUGCCUUUAGUGGGAGAACUAUAAAGUCAUAUGGCUAAAGGUAUGAAUGUAUAAAUAUAUUUAUGGAAAGUCAUGAAGAAUUGACAGCCAUGAUCCAAUAUCACACCAAAGAAAAAAGAAUUCUGCGGUGAUAUUUGAAAUAUCUGAUAUUCUUCUUUUCCACUACUUUUGUAGCAAUGGAAUAACUAUGACUUUGUUGCGCAUACAAUACUUGUUGAGAUUUGGUAACACAAUGAAGUCUUCACAGGACAUUGUCUUGGGACUUUCCCAUAUCUAGGGUAAUGAAAGAGACAUUGGCUCAUAUCUGUAAUCCCAGCACUUUGGAGACUGAGGCAGUUGAAUUGCUUGGGCCCAAGAGUUCUAGAGCAGCCUGGGCAAAUGAUGAAACCCCGUUUCUACAAAAAAAUACAAAAAUUAGCCGAGUUUGGUGGCACGUGCCUGUAGUUCCAACUACUGGGGAGGCUGAGGUGGGAGUAUCACUUGAGCCCUGGAGACAGAGGUUGCGGUGAGCCAAGAUCACACCAUUGCAUUCCAGCCUGAGUGACAGAGUAAGGCCUUGUUUCAAAAGAGGG